rnacentral:rRNA from 1 species
CCUACGGGGGGCUGCAGUGAGGAAUAUUGGUCAAUGGGGGAAACCCUGAUGCAGCGACGCCGCGUGAGUGAAGAAGUAUUUCGGUACGUAAAGCUCUAUCAGCAGGGAAGAAAAUGACGGUACCUGACUAAGAAGCCCCGGCUAACUACGUGCCAGCAGCCGCGGUAAUACGUAGGGGGCAAGCGUUAUCCGGAUUUACUGGGUGUAAAGGGAGCGUAGACGGCAGCGCAAGUCUGGAGUGAAAUCCCAUGGCUUAACCAUGGAACUGCUUUGGAAACUGUGCAGCUAGAGUGCAGGAGAGGUAAGCGGAAUUCCUAGUGUAGCGGUGAAAUGCGUAGAUAUUAGGAGGAACACCAGUGGCGAAGGCGGCUUACUGGACUGUAACUGACGUUGAGGCUCGAAAGCGUGGGGAGCAAACAGGAUUAGAUACCCCAGUAGUC